rnacentral:rRNA from 1 species
AUGGAGUUUGUAGUGGGUGCUUCGGAAGCCACCAUGAGAUCUCUCCUAGGCAAAUUGGGCGGUCUCCUUGCCCAAGAGUACACUCUGAUUCGCGGCGUCCGCGGCGACAUCCAGUACAUCAGCGAUGAGCUCGCCAGCAUGCAGGCCUUUCUUGGCGACCUCGGCUCUGCCCUGGAUGACCACGAUCGCCGGCUCAAGAACUGGAUGAAGCAGAUUCGUGACAUGGCAUACGACAUGGAAGACUGCAUCGAUGACUUUGCUCAUCGCCUCCCUCAGGACUCUCUCAGCGGUGCAAGAUGCUCCUUCAUCGUGACGAUAGUCUACGAGAUGUGGACAUUCUGGCCUCGCCGUGACAUUGCCUCCAAGAUUGCCGAGCUCAAGGUCCGGGCACAGUACAUUGCUGAGAGGCGCAGCAGAUAUGGAGUGAACAACCCAAACCCAAGAACAAGCUCCGGAGCCGGAGCAACCCAUGCUGUUACGUAUGGCAUUGCUGAGCAUUUGGUGGCGAGCCGUCAGCUCAUCCGCACAGAGAACCCCGUGGGAGUGAAGGUGGACAUGAAGAAGCUAGGAGGUUGGCUAGCCAAACAUGAUAAAGGCUCUCAUUGA